CACUGCUUUUUUCGUCAAAAUACAACAUUCGGUAAAGUAAAAAAGAAUGAUACAUACACCAAAAUGGACGGAGCGCAACAAAAUAAAAAAUACGCCAGAACCACAAAAGCGCAGUUGAAAUGGUAUGUUGAAUUCAUACAAAGUAAUCGACAGAUACUAAGGCCGAAUAAAACUGCCGCAAAACUUAAAGAGGUAAACAUUAUAUUAUAUUUUGUUUAUAUUAUCAAACAAUAAUUUUUCCCAUUGUAGUCUUUAAGCAACUGGAAGAAGUAGCUCCGCGCUCGGGCUCGAAAGCUACAAGCAGAACGCUUGCGCACUGGCGGAGGUUCGCUUUCAGGCGAGGAGUUAUCGGAGUUCGAGGAACAAGCUCUUUCUGCAUUUGGCAUGGGCGCAGUCAAUGGAUUGGAGUGUGUAACCUUGGGUCUUCCUGUCAGUAAAUAAUUUGCCUAUUUGUUAAAUAUACACAAAACUUUAUGUUUCUGCUUACUUAGGGCACAUUCAGAAAACUGCGACUCCAUCACCACUAUGCGAAGAGGAAGAAUACGUGAUUGAGGAAACGCUGAUCGAAUCGCCAACCGAGUUAUCGUAGACCCAAAUAUAUCUAACAUUGCCGCAGCCUCUGCUGCAUGGCCUUCGAUUGCUCCUACCACUUCUCGGCAACAAAAAUUGACAAAGGAUGCAAUUUAUAAGAAGAUGGCUGAAGAUUUGCAGUCUCAAAGGCAGAGAGAUGAGCAGCUAUCUUCUGCACUGAUGCAAAUGGGGAAAGGAUUGGGCAAUGCAAUCUCAAAAUUAGCCGAUAAGCUGUAGUAAGUUUUUUUUAUUAGCUACAUAAGGAAUUUUUUUUAUCAAAUGUAUUGCUUUAAGUUUUUUAAAUGUUUGUCUAGAAGACAUUUUAGUUAGUAGUAUUAAGAUUUAUGUAAAUAUGUAAAUAGCCAUGCCUGAAUAUAAAAACAAUGAAGACUGAACUUGUGAUACAAUAAAAAUAUUGUUUUUUAAACUUCUUCUAUUCAUUUCUUCACAAAUUAAUUAAAAAUUGUGAAAACUAAAUCAUACGCAUCAAAUGUGCACGAAUCCGUUCGGCUUCUCGAAAGAGUUCGUUCAGGAUAGUUGUUGCUCGCACAGUUUGAAUAUUUUCAUCAAUUUCAUUCUCCUCCAGUUCCAUUUGCUCUAUGUUAGUAUAGCAUGCGGUUUUAUUGAUAAUAUUAUGGAGUAUUGCACAUGAAUUGACGAUAGAUACUACUGUUUUGUGACUAUAGUUUAAAAUGCGGUGCUUUGAGAGACAUCGAAAUCUUGAUUUCAAUACACCUUAAGUACGUUCAAUUACUUUGCGUGCUGCACAGUGUACUCUAUUGUAAUUUUCCUCAAGCGCGUUUGUUGGUUCUGAAACUGGGGUUAGUAGCCAGGGUUCCAGAGGAUAGCCUUGGUCACCUAUGAGCCAACACCCACGUUGAUCCAUUAAGAAGCUUCUAAUCAUGGAUGUCGUCUAUAUCCCCGAGUCAUGACAAGAGCCAGGAAAAUUGGCGUUUAUUGACAAAAAAAUUCAUGCUUGCGUUACACACUGCCUUUACAUUGGCGCUGUAAUUACCCUUCCGGUUCAUAUACAGGCUUGCUGGAUAUGUAGGGUUGUUGCUUGUAACUGCAAUAAUGCCAAUGUGUGUGCAGUCAAUUGCA